UACCUGCAGCUCGAGUGGUAACCGCUAUUAUUGGGCCUAAAGCGUCCGUAGCCGGUUUGGUAAAUAUCUGGGUAAAUCGUGAGGCUUAACUUCACGAAUUUCGGAUAGACUGCCAGACUUGGGAUCGGGGGAGGUCAGAGGUACUCCAGGGGUAGCGGUGAAAUGUUGUAAUCCUUGGAGGACCACCGGUAGCGAAGGCGUCUGACUAGGACGAGUCCGACGGUGAGGGACGAAGCCCUGGGGGCGCAAACCGGAUUAGAUACCCCGGGUAGUCCAGGGUGUAAACGAUGUGGGCUUUGUAUUGGAGGUCCCACGUGGGCGUCCAGUGCAGAAGAGAAGUUGUUAAGCCCACCGCCUGGGAAGUACGGUCGCAAGGCUGAAACUUAAAGGAAUUGGGCGGGGAGCACCGCGAACGGGUGGAGCGUGCGGUUU
rnacentral:rRNA from 1 species